rnacentral:rRNA from 1 species
GACGAACGCUGGCGGCGUGCCUAACACAUGCAAGUCGAGCGGUGGGAGUUCUUCGUAACGAACCUAGCGGCGGACGGGUGUGUAACACGUGGUCAACCUGCCUUGAGGAGGGGUAUAACAGGAUGAAAGUCCUGCUAAUACCGCAUAACCCGUUGCUGUCGCAUGAUGGCAUCGGCAAAGGAGCAAUCCGCCUCAAGAUGGGCACGCGGCGCAUUAGCUAGUUGGUGGGGUAACGGCCUACCAAGGCGACGAUUCUUAGCCGACCUAAGAGGGUGAUCGGCCAACUUGGAACUGAGACACGGUCCAGAAUCCUUCGGGAGGCAGCAGUGGGGAAUAUUGCACAAUGGGCGAAAGCCUGAUGCAGCAACGCCGCGUGAGCCAUGAAGGCCAUCGAGUUAUAAAGCUCUGUCUUCGCUGACGAAACAUGACGGUAAGCGAGGAGAAAGCCACGGCUAACUACGUG